rnacentral:lncRNA from 1 species
GCCGAGGGCGAGGAGAGGGGACAGGGAGGAGGGCGCCCCAGACAGAGUCCGUGCUAGGCAGGGCGCUGGAGGGAGCGUGAGCCCCACGGCCACCCACGGCAGGGCCUGAGGGGUGAAAGCCCUGGAAACUGUCACUGUUCUGUGUCGUGCCACGGCCCACGCAGCACUGCACACUGGGGGCCGGGGUCCUGGAGUAAAGGAGCUGUGGGCUGGGUUUAUCUGUGAUGGAGACUCUGGGAGGCCUGGGCACUUCCUCUUUCCAAGCACAGAGAAACAGAGGGCCCAGGAACUGGCCAGGGCCGCAGGCAGCUGGCGGGGACCCCAGUCACAGAUCUUCAGACCCUGGUGCUGCUGCCCACAGCGGGCAGGGCAGGCACUCAGGCCCGGGUGCCCAGCCUGGGCGGAGAGGGGCUUUUCCCUGGGUGGUGGGCAGGUGACAUCUCCAGGAGCUCGGGACACGCAGGGUCCAGUGGCCCUGAGACAGGAACAGGAGGAGCCGGUCCUUGCCGUGACGAAGAUGUCUGGAUUUAUUUCUGAGCAGCAGGAGAGGCAGACUUCGAAGGUCCUUGUCGGGUAGGGCUGGGUCGCAGAGGGCAUAUGGGAGGCGGAGAGGAGACUAGAGGGGUCCACAGAGGGCCCCGGAAGCAGACAUCUUGGCCGUCCAUGCUGCCCCGGGGGGCACCUGCUCCCCUCACUGACUUCCCCGACCAGGCCCCUCUGGGGCUGUGCUGGGUGCGGCCCAGCUGCCUGCCUGGGAGGAGAGGCCCCUGAGCUGUGGCAGUGACUCCAGGGCACCGUGGUGCCCGGCUGUGCAGUGCGCUCAGUCUCCAAUGCGGCUGCCCUCGCCGGGUCGCAGGUGUGUCCAGGGGAGGAGCAAGUCAGAUGCCCCCCAAAAAGCACGUCCCAGAGUGACCCAGCAGCACAAAUCAAGAUGGAAUAUUACUUGGCAACAAAAAAGAACAAGCUGCUGCUCCAGGCAGUGACCUGACAGAAUCUCACAGAGAUGAGAAGCAAAGAUCCCACUGAAAGGAAGCUCAAGAGCCAGCAAAGCAGGCCAGGCAUGAUGGCACACACCUGUCAUCCCAGCACUCGGGAGGCUGAGGCAGGAGGAUCUCUGUGAGUUCAAAGCCAGCCUGUGUUACAUAGCAAAUUCAAGACCACCUUGAACUACAUAGUGAGACCCUGUGUCAAAAACCUAAAACCAUGGGCCGGGGAUUUAGCUCAGUGGUUUUGUCGCCUGCUGUGCAAGCGCAAGGACCCGAGUUCGAUCUCCGGUACCAAAAAAAAAAACCUAAAACCAAGUGGACAAAUAAAAAAAUGAAUACUGGAC